GAGCAGAGCGCGGCGGGCGAGGCGCUGGGCGGCUGGGCGAGGCAGGAGCGGCUCCGGGCGGAGCAGGAGCGGCUGGGCCGGACGCAGGCGGCGCUGGCCCAGGACGGGGCCCGGGCUGGCCGUGCAGCUCGCGGCUGCCCAGCGCCAGGAGCGGCACCGCGACCGCGAGGCCGCCGGGCUCAGGUCGGAGAAGGAGGGGCUGGAGAGCGCCGUGUUCCAGCUGCAGCAGGAGCUGGCCCAGCUCCAGGCCCGCAAUCAGCAGCUGGAGACCCAAGGCCGGACACUGGCCCAGGCCAAGGAGGCACUGGAGGCGGAGCUGAGCGUGGCGCGGCGGGAGCGGGCGCAGGAGCUGCGGGAGCGGCGCCAGGCGGUGGCGGUGGCCGAGGCGGCCGCGGUGACAGCGGCGCUGCAGAGCGCCCGCGACGCCCACCGGGAGCAGCUGGAGCAGCUCCAGCGCGAGAAGGAGGAGCUGGAGGCCGAGCGGGGCCGGCUGGUGCAGGAGCACGAGGAGCUGGUGGCCGAUCUGGCAGCAGUGCGGCAGCAGCGCCAGAGCGAGAAGCAGCAGGCUCUGGCGCUGCAGGAGGAGGAGCGGGUGGCCCUGGCAGGGACACUGGCAGGGCUCCAGCAGAGCCUGGACGAGGCCACGGCCGAGCUGGAGCAGCGGCGGCGAGAGGUCACGGGCCACCAGGAGAAGGAGCAGGCCUUGGCCGUGGAGCUGCGCUCGCUGCGGGCGCGGGCGGAGGAGGCGGCGCUGAGCCACGAGCGGGAGGCGAGGACGCUCCGGGACCAGGCGGCAGCGGCGGCCAAGCAGCGGGACAGCGCCCUGCGAGAGGUGAACCAACCCCCCCAAAACCCCUUCCCGUCCCCCUGAAAGCCCCAAAUCGCUGGAUUCCCGCUCCGGGCAGGCGGAG
rnacentral:lncRNA from 14 species